GGGAGGCAGCAGUGGGGAAUAUUGGACAAUGGGCGAAAGCCUGAUCCAGCCAUGCCGCGUGUGUGAAGAAGGUCUUCGGAUUGUAAAGCACUUUAAGUUGGGAGGAAGGGUUGUACGUUAAUACCGUGCAAUUUUGACGUUACCGACAGAAUAAGCACCGGCUAACUCUGUGCCAGCAGCCGCGGUAAUACAGAGGGUGCAAGCGUUAAUCGGAAU
rnacentral:rRNA from 1 species